rnacentral:tRNA from 1 species
GGGCGAUUAGCUCAGCAGGUUAGAGCGCUUGCUUGACAUGCAAGAGGUCAUCCGUUCAAGUCGGAUAUCGCCCA